GGCCGGUGAUGAACGGAGAAUUGUCCGUACCAUCUGAUUUCCUUGAUGUAUUAAUCUCGAAUAUUUCUGAGGCCU